CUUGUCAUUACAGUGGAGGCAUUUGAGGUGGUGGACAAUUAGAAGAAGUGAUUAGUUUGUUUUCAAGAUGAAACGAUUAAAAGGCAGUGUACCUCUUUUUCACUGCCGCAGUAUCCUUGCAGGACACAUUUGCCACAGAAGAUAGAUUUAAGAUGGAAGAAAGCUGCUUGACUCCCAUGAGACUUUGUAUACAAAAUGGGAUCCAUCUCACAUAAGUCAGAAAGGCUGUUAAUAAAAAGUCAACAACAACAACAACAACAACAGAUGCUGGUGAGGCUGCAGAGAAAAGGAAAUGCUAAUACACUGUUGGCGAGAAUGUAAAUUAGUUCAGCUACUGCAGAAACCAGUCUGGAGAUUUCUCAAAUAACUUAAAACGAGAUACCAUUUGAUCAGGUGAUCUCAUUACUGGGUACAUAUCCAAGAGAAAAUAAAUCAUUCAUUUGUUCUUUUUACUCCUUCUCUCUUCUUUUCUUUUAGAUUUUUUUAAUGAUUCAUUUUAUCAUCUUUAUUGACUUAUUAGCUAUACCUGUUUAUUAAUAAGUGACUGCUUUCCAAGUUUACAGGAUACAUCUUUACCUUAGCACACUCUGUGUUAGAAUAACAUUAUAUCAUUUCCCAAUUUCACAUUAUAAAUGAGAAUCUUAUAACAGUAAAUUUACAUGUACCUUCUCUCAAAAUGGUAUUUUCAUAUGUAUUUUCCUUCUAUACAGGUUAAAAUCUGUAUAAUGCAUAGUUAUUUUGCUUAAUCUUUUAAAGAAAUUUCAAAAAUAAGGUUAUGUAUCAUAUACUUUUAUUGUUAAUAGUUCUAGUGAUAUUCCUUCCUUUGUGAAGAUACAGGUUUCCUUUUGUUAUUCACUUGGUUACAACAUUUCUUACAAAGGGCUUGUGCUAGUAAUAAAUUUAUUCAGCAUUUUUAUGUCUGAAAGUGUAUCUUUUUUGUUCUUCACAGAUAUUUUUAAACUUUUACUGCAAUAAAAUUUUAGGUUGACAGUUUUCAUCUUUAGCUCUUUAAACAUUUUGUUUCAGUGUCGCUUCUGAUGAGAUAUAUUCUGUCAUUCUUAUUUCUAAGCUUCGUUAUACAAUAUGCUUCUUUUUCUGGUUGCUUUUUAAAACCUCUCAUCAUUAUUGUUUUGAACAGUUUUCAUUAUGAUGUAUCAUGAUAAAGUUUACGAAUCUUUCAUGUGCUAGAAGUUUUUUAUACUUUGGUAAAAUUUUUAUUUAACUUGAAACAUUUUUGGCCAUUAAAUUUUCAAAUAUAUGUUCUACAACCCCCUUUCUUUGGACACUUGAAUUACAUGUAUAUUAGUUCCAUGUGUAUUGAAGUAUUUCAUAGUUCUCUGAUGCCUUAUUAAUUUUUCAUUUUAGACAGUUUCUGCUGCUAUGUCUUUAAGUUCAAGAAUCUUGCCUGCCAUAAUGUCUAAUCCGCAAAUAAUUCUCCCUUAGGAGUCAGUAUUUUUCCUAUCAGACAUUGUGUUUUUCAUCUCCAGAAGUUUGAGUCUUUUAAAAACAUAUCUUGUUUCUCCUUAAUGUAUUUAUGCUUUUCUCUACAUUCAUGAAUAUAUGAACUUUUAUUUAUGACUAUUUAAUGUAUUAUUUAACAAAUUCUGUCAUCUGUGUAAUUUGGGGGUAUUU
rnacentral:lncRNA from 10 species